rnacentral:rRNA from 1 species
CCUACGGGAGGCAGCAGUGGGGAAUUUUGGACAAUGGGCGCAAGCCUGAUCCAGCCAUGCCGCGUGCGGGAAGAAGGCCUUCGGGUUGUAAACCGCUUUUGUCAGGGAAGAAAAGGUUCUGGAUAAUACCUGGGACUCAUGACGGUACCUGAAGAAUAAGCACCGGCUAACUACGUGCCAGCAGCCGCGGUAAUACGUAGGGUGCAAGCGUUAAUCGGAAUUACUGGGCGUAAAGCGUGCGCAGGCGGUUAUGCAAGACAGAGGUGAAAUCCCCGGGCUCAACCUGGGAACUGCCUUUGUGACUGCAUAGCUAGAGUACGGUAGAGGGGGAUGGAAUUCCGCGUGUAGCAGUGAAAUGCGUAGAUAUGCGGAGGAACACCGAUGGCGAAGGCAAUCCCCUGGACCUGUACUGACGCUCAUGCACGAAAGCGUGGGGAGCAAACAGGAUUAGAUACCCUGGUAGUCCACGCCCUAAACGAUGUCAACUGGUUGUUGGGAGGGUUUCUUCUCAGUAACGUAGCUAACGCGUGAAGUUGACCGCCUGGGGAGUACGGCCGCAAGGUUGAAACGUCAAAGGAAUUGACGG